GCCAGUGUGGCUCAAUGGUUAGAGUGUUGGACUAAGACCUGGAGACCAGGGUUCAAGCCCCCACUCGGCC